rnacentral:rRNA from 1 species
CUCCUAGUACGAGAGGACCGGAGUGGACGCAUCACUGGUGUUCGGGUUGUCAUGCCAAUGGCACUGCCCGGUAGCUAAAUGCGGAAGAGAUAAGUGCUGAAAGCAUCUAAGCACGAAACUUGCCCCGAGAUGAGUUCUCCCUGAGACUWUAAGUCUCCUGAAGGAACGUUGAAGACGACGACGUUGAUAGGCCGGGUGUGUAAGCGCAGCGAUGCGUUGAGCUAACCGGUACUAAUGAACCGUGAGGCUUAACCUUACAACGCCGAAG